rnacentral:rRNA from 1 species
CAGCAGCCGCGGUAAUACGGAGGAUCCAAGCGUUAUCCGGAAUCAUUGGGUUUAAAGGGUCCGUAGGUGGAUAAUUAAGUCAGAGGUGAAAUCCUGCAGCUCAACUGUAGAAUUGCCUUUGAAACUGGUUAUCUUGAAUUAUUAUGAAGUAGUUAGAAUAUGUAGUGUAGCGGUGAAAUGCAUAGAUAUUACAUAGAAUACCAAUUGCGAAGGCAGAUGACUAAUAAUAUAUUGACACUGAUGGACGAAAGCGUGGGGAGCGAACGGGAUUAGAUACCCCGGUAGUCCACGCCGUAAACGAUGGUCACUAGCUGUUCGGAACUUGUUUCUGAGUGGCUAAGCGAAAGUGAUAAGUGACCCACCUGGGGAGUACGUUCGCAAGAAUGAAACUCAAAGGAAUUGACGGGGGCCCGCACAAGCGGUGGAGCAUGUGGUUUAAUUCGAUGAUACGCGAGGAACCUUACCAGGGCUUAAAUGUAGAUUGCC